GACGAACGCUGGCGGCGUGCUUAACACAUGCAAGUCGAGCGGUAAGGCCCUUUCGGGGGUACACGAGCGGCGAACGGGUGAGUAACACGUGGGUGACCUGCCCUCAGCUCUGGGAUAAGCCUGGGAAACCGGGUCUAAUACUGGAUAUGACUCCAUGACGCAUGUUGUGGGGUGGAAAGCCUUGUGCGGCUGAGGAUGGGCCCGCGGCCUAUCAGCUUGUUGGUGGGGNGAUGGCCUACCAAGGCGACGACGGGUAGCCGGCCUGAGAGGGCGACCGGCCACACUGGGACUGAGACACGGCCCAGACUCCUACGGGAGGCAGCAGUGGGGAAUCUUGCGCAAAUGGGCGAAAGCCUGACGCAGCGACGCCGCGUGAGGGAUGACGGCCUGGUGUAAC
rnacentral:rRNA from 1 species